CUUCCAUUUUUUUUUCCAUCCUCUCAUGACAUCACAACCCCAACAACACAAACUAAAGUGCAAGAAUGAAUACAACUAACAAUCAUUCCGGCCCCUUUCCUUUCCCAUUAUCCUUCGAGGGCUCCUUUUCUUUGCGGAAUGUCAAGUUCAACGAAAUCUCGACGUUUCGUUUCUCAGCAAUUCGAGCUAGACGUUCAAACAUGCCUGGCAAAUCGUCGACUUCCUCAUUGGUAGUAGGAUUCAUCAUUUCAUUAAUGGCACUCGAUUCUUCCGUUCUUACCCAGUCAAAAAAUCCACGAGCUACUGCAAGUUUUUGAAUAGUCGGCGUUUGUUAUUGCCUUCCUUUUCAACCUCGAAACAUUUUUGAAUUCCGACUACACACCGUGAACAACAAACUUUUCUCUUGCAAUCUUCGAAAUAGUGAUCCGAGCUUCUACAAUUGUGACAAACACCGAAAUUCCUCCAUCUCAUCCCAAUAUGGCAACCAAUAUUCAGAGGUGAUAAGAGUGUAAAAUAUAAUAUUUUUCCCUUUUAAUUGUUGGAUUCGUAUGAUUAUUUGAUGUCAAAACACACCCAUUACUCUUAUGUUUUGAUCUAGGUCACAAUUCGAUGGAAAAUGUGAAAUUCGAAAGAAAUUAGUAAAAAGGGCCAAAGUAGAAGAAAGUGAAAGUUCAGAGAACUUUUGGGCGCCACACAUUUGUUAUAUGCGACCGCAUGGCUUAUAACCAUACAGUCGCAUAGUUAUCCUCCGAGACCAAAAUUUUCAAAUUCCUAAAUUGACGUCAUCACUUAUGGAAACACGUUUUGAUACGUUUCUUAAGAUAAAAAAAAAAAAAAAAAAAAAAAAAACGAAACCACUCCAGAACAUGGGGGAAUGAACCUAGACUCCAUUUUUCGAAUCUUUGGCCAAGAAACUCCAUAGAAGGCUAAGAAAAAUUUGGUGAAGCAAGGGAUGAACUCGAUUAGUGUCGAUGAUGCCAAUGUCUCUUCACACAUGUAAUUUGAUUUUUCAUUGAUCAACAAUUCUAGGUUUAUGAUUUCCUGUUUAUUAAAUAUGUUUUGAAAUCGGUUUAAUAUGUAUUAGAUUUUCAUGGAUUUAAUAAUGUUCUUUUCAUCAAAUAAUUGAAGUAUGUAUUGAAUUUCAAUUUCAAUCAUCUCAUUGGUGUGAUUCGCUAAUAUUAUAUGCUUGAUGUAUGUAAUUGAUUUUGAAUCUAAUUCCAAUAAAUUAAAGUGGAAAUAU
rnacentral:lncRNA from 1 species